CAUCUCUUUAUGAUUUAUGAUUUAAGGUUUAAUCUGCUCAAUGAAUAUUAAUUAAAUUGCCGCGGUAAUUUAACUGUGCAAAGGUAGCAUAAUAAAUUGUUUUUUUAUUGGAAACUUGAAUGAAUGAUUGGACAAAAAAUUUUCUGUCUUUAUAUAAUUAUUUUAAUUUAACUUGAAAGUGAAAAGGCUUUCAUUUGCUUAAGGGACGAGAAGACCCUAUAGAGUUUUAUUUAAUUUUUUUUUAUUAAGUUUUUAUUAUUCAUAUUUUUAUUUAAGAUUAAAUUUGACUGGGGUUGUUGAUUAAUUUGUUAAAAUUAUUUAUUUUUUUUAUCAUUGAUUUGUGAGUAUAUUAUAUUUGUUAUUGAAUUAUAUAAUAAAUUACCUUAGGGAUAACAGCGUUAUUUUUAUUUAAAGUUCCUAUUUAAAUAAGAGAUUUCGACCUCGAUGUUGGAUUAAAAUUUAUGUUUAAUGGAGAUAUUAAAUUAUUUAGUCUGUUCGACUAUUAAAAUUUUACAUGAUCUGAGU
rnacentral:rRNA from 1 species